GACGAACGCUGGCGGCGUGCUUAACACAUGCAAGUCGAACGGAAAGGCCCUGCUUUUGUGGGGUGCUCGAGUGGCGAACGGGUGAGUAACACGUGAGUAACCUGCCCUUGACUUUGGGAUAACUUCAGGAAACUGGGGCUAAUACCGGAUAGGAGCUCCUGCUGCAUGGUGGGGGUUGGAAAGUUUCGGCGGUUGGGGAUGUACUCGCGGCUUAUCAGCUUGUUGGUGGGGUAGUGGCUUACCAAGGCUUUGACGGGUAGCCGGCCUGAGAGGGUGACCGGACACAUUGGGACUGAGAUACGGCCCAGACUCGUACGGGAGGCAGGAGUGGGGAGUAUUGCACAAUGGGAGGAAGCCUGAUGCAGAAAAGCAGCGUGCGGGAUGACGGCAUUCGGGUUGGAAACCGCUUUCGACUGUGACGAAGCGUGAGUGACGGUAACGGGUAAAGAAGCACCGGCUAACUACGUG
rnacentral:rRNA from 1 species